GAGAUUCUAGUAAAUUAAUUACAUCACCUUGUCAAGGUGAAAUUGUGAGUGAAAACCCCACGAAUCUUA
rnacentral:tRNA from 1 species